AUCGAACCCGGAGAUAGCUGGUUCUCCUCGAAAUAGCUUUAGGGCUAGCCUCAUACAAGUCUUGCGGAGGUAGAGCACUGAAUUCCUACGGGGGCGUCAAAGCUUACCAAGGGAUAUCAAACUCCGAAUGCCGUGUAGAUGAUGUAUGGGAGUCAGACUAUCCGAGAUAAGUUGGGUAGUCGAAAGGGAAAGAGCCCAGACCUGCAGCUAAGGCCCCAAAAUGUGUGUUAAGUGGAAAAGGAUGUGGGAUUUCGAAGACAACUAGGAUGUUGGCUUAGAAGCAGCCAUCCAUUAAAAGAGUGCGUAAUAGCUCACUAGUCGAGAGGUCCUGCGCCGAAAAUGUCCGGGGCUGAAACACACUACCGAAGCUUGGGAAUUGACGAAUGUUAAUUGGUAGAGGAGCAUUCUUAACGGGGCGAAGCUGUACCGGAAGGAGCAGUGGACUGUUAAGAAGAGAGAAUGCCGGAAUGAGUAGCGAGAGGAAGGUGAGAAUCCUUCCGGCCGAAUAUCUAAGGUUUCCAGAGUAAAGCUGAUCUGCUCUGGGUAAGUCGGGGCCUAAGGCGAGGUCGAAAGACGUAGUCGAUGGAUAACAGGUAAAGAUUCCUGUACUAUAUCAUAACAGAACUGUGGGGACGCAGACAGAGAGCAUAAGCCGGGAAUGGAAAGACCGGUACAAGCGAGGUAGGAGUGCAUCAGGCAAAUCCGGUGCACAAUCUGAAGACGUGAUGUGGGGCGUAAAGCCGGAAGUAUGUGAGCUGGCUGCCAAGAAAAGCCGCUAUUGUUUAUGAUAUACCCGUACCGUAAACCGACACAGGUGGAUGAGGAGAGAAUCCUAAGGCCGACGGGAGAAGCAUUGUUAAGGAACUCGGCAAAAUGACUCCGUAACUUCGGGAGAAGGAGUGCCAUGUAAAAGUGGCCGCAGAGAAUUGGCCCAAGCAACUGUUUAGCAAAAACACAGGUCUAUGCAAAACCGAAAGGUGAGGUAUAUGGGCUGACGCCUGCCCGGUGCUGGAAGGUUAAGGGGAGAGGUUAGCCGUAAGGCGAAGCUUUGAACUUAAGCCCCAGUAAACGGCGGCCGUAACUAUAACGGUCCUAAGGUAGCGAAAUUCCUUGUCGGGUAAGUUCCGACCCGCACGAAAGGCGUAAUGAUUUGGGCACUGUCUCAACAAUGCACCCGGUGAAAUUGAAAUACCAGUGAAGAUGCUGGUUACCUGCGCCAGGACGGAAAGACCCCAUGGAGCUUUACUCCAGCUUGAUACUGGGAUUCGAUAUUGCAUGUACAGGAUAGGUGGGAGACUAGGAAGUGGUGACGCCAGUUGCCAUGGAGUCAAUGUUGGGAUACCACCCUUGCAGUAUUGGGUUUCUAACCAGCAGCCGUGAUCCGGCUGGGGGACAAUGUCAGGUGGGGAGUUUGACUGGGGCGGUCGCCUCCGAAAGGGUAUCGGAGGCGCUCAAAGGU
rnacentral:rRNA from 1 species